GGCUGUAGCAGAUAAAAUAGACCCACCAAACCCUAAUACCUAACAGAGGAUAUAUUUAAGAUUGGUUUGUCAAAACCGCCGGUCUCCUCUUCUACAAAACUGAGCUCAUCAUAUCUUGGGUUCAAUAGAGGGAAUGGUUUUGGCGUCUGAGGAUAUGUCUGAAGGCCAGGAUGAAGAGGAAGAUGAUGCUGAAAGAGUCGAGAAUUCUAAAUUUAACAUCGAAUUAGUGAUUCACCAGACGGAACUCUUUCGAAUAGAGGGCCUGGACGACGAGCUCACUCUAGGAAGAAAGAGUAUUAAAAAAAAACUCAAGAGAUGCCACGGCUGCUCAGAUCUACGGAGGGAAACUGAGAAGAUUCGUCCAUCACCAUUUUGAUCAGCAGCGUGGCUUCCUCAUCUCCCCUCCCCAAGAUAUUUCGGGAUCAAGUCGGAUUCCAGCUAUUGGCUUGAAUUAUCUUUUGAGGUUUCAGUCAGUCUCAGUCUCAUUGUCAAGUCAGCUUUUGCACAUGUCCAUAUGGGAGCAUGCAUUUUUAGCGCUCGUCAACUUUGUCCAUAUCCUGCAAAUCUGUCAACAACAAGAAAUAGAAAAGUCAGGCAAAGUAUCAAGCAUGAGGAUUCUCGUAAGUUUAUCAAACUUUGUAACUGCUAAAGGUACUCAGACGAAGGAAGAGCAACAUUAUGGUCAUCAUUAGAGGGGAAGAAACUACCUUUUCAAAGGGAAGAAAGGAUUUCUCUUCAGCUCCACUGGUUCUUUGUUCCCUCUUCUUGGUUCUUUGAAGGUUCAAAUCCUUUGGUAUUUACUAUCAUGUUCGAGGCUGAAUCACGUCCUGUUUCUUUUCUUUUUCCAACCGAAUCAGUGAUUUACCAGAGGCGGGCCUCCUCCUUAAAAUAGUGCCUUCCCUUCUCUUCCCAGAAGCGAAGUUCUUUCUGGGCCUCUUCUAACUCCGCCUCGAUAAUUCUAUUUUUGAGGCCGGGUGAAGAGGAAGGUUCCGGCUCCGGGUCCGGAGCCAUGUUAUUCAAGUUAUUUGCAUUGGCUUCUUGUACAGUUUAAUCAAUGAUCAACGACUUGCAAACAGGAUGCUUAAUUGUGUGAAUAACACUUAAUUAUACAGAUUAACUUGAUCUUGUUCAGAUCUGUAGUUUGUAAUAUGAUAGAGAUGCAUCAAUGA